UGUAUUUGGAAGUUAUUCAUAAAAAUAUAAAAAUAUGAAUUACUGUCAAGACUGCUGUGUUAGGUAACUCAGGUUGUAUUGUGUGUGACAUACAGCCCAGUCAUGAAAUGCAGUCGUUUUAAGUGGUUAUUUCUGGGCUGUGGGAUCACACACAGGUGUGUUCUAUUUGCCCUGUAUCACUUUCAUUCCACCCCUCCCAGAUACAUUGUUACCAAACCAGGUUGUUUUGCGCAAUGCUCAGUAAAUCAAACCCCUGAGACACUGAGGUUUGCAGCAAAGACAACAGGACUUAUUCACAAAGCAGCCAGGUGUGGAGAGAGAACCAAUUCAGAUCCUCUGGGAAGCCACAGGCUGGGGCACUUAGGAACGAAGAAUAAAGAAGCAGGGUGGUUUGGGGCGUGGAGGGGUGGGGAAGGUGAUUGGAAAAAGGUGCAGGAAUCUACCUUCUGCUGAGGUGUAAUUAAACCACAGGCCUCUGGCCAUAAAAAAAAGGAGGCACUUAACAUGAUCUGAGGGUGGAGUUUUCUGAUCUCUGACACCAAAACGCCACCCAGCAGGUGUGCUUGCCCAGUUGGAGGGUGGGUGGUCCUAUCCACUCUUCACCAGCUCAGCUUGAACUAGACACAGCUGAUUCUAGUUCCUAGACGAGAACUCAGGCAAUAUCAUCUUACGGAUUAGGCUAUGUGCAGCUUGGAGGCCAGGCAAGUCACAAUUAGUGACCUUGAUUAGUGAAGGCAGGUGAAAUGGAUUUGAGUAAUGGUUACCCAUGGUUUCAGCAUGACUUAAAUCUUUCCUUAUGAUAAAAAUGAUAAACAGUGGCAAAUAAGAGGAGUUUGCACUGAACCCUGUACCACUUUAGGCACUAGGAACAGCAUCUUUAAACCAGAGAUGGCAUGCUUUCUCCACUCUACCACGAAGUAAGCAGAAGUGCUCAAACUUCACCAUGCAUCAGAUGCACCUGGAGGGCUUCUUAAACCCUUGCUGGGCCCCACCCCCAGAGUUUCUUAUUUAGCUCUCUGUCAUGGGUCGGGAGAACAGCACAGUUUUAAGAAGGCUCUGCUACCUCUGCUUCUGGCCCCAAGGCUACAUUUCCAGUGCCACUGAAGAUGAGUGUGAUUUGAUGGAAAAGAGCCCAGGUCCACUGACUGGUCUUAGUUUUAGCUCUGGUCUUAGCUCUGUUUUGGAAUGCUUGUGGUGGCAAUGACUUUGAAGCCUCAAUUCUGAACUCCAGCUCUCCAUCAAGUCUUUCCUCACCACUCCAGGCCAUGGAGACCCUUUCACCCCACAAGUGGCGUGCUGGAACUUCUCUGGAAACUUGGACUUCUACAAAGAAUCUCUUAUCCAUGGGUGUGUGUUUAAGACAGUGUUUUCAAGGGGUUCUUGGACAACAGUUGAGAAGGUGUGAAACUGCGUCAUGGGCUACUGCAAGGUCCACAGUAAUACUGAGGUCCAUCUACCUGUUACCUGAUUUGUGAGUAGAGGUUCACGUGAGAGAAAACCAGAAGGAGCUUGUGUGACUCAGAACUCUUGGCUCUGAAGAGUCUGGCCUGUUAGCUUCCUGUCAGCCUCUGACCAAGAAUGGUUGGCCAUGCAAGUAAUACUUCCAAACAUUUUCUGGACAGCAGCUCCCUGUGUACACGUCGACUAACUGCUCCCUUCAGUAUUGAUUUUGCACCUGCCCUCCCAGGAGGAUCUACUUUGGCUGGGAAACUUCAGUGGGGCUCAAACGCAUUUUCCCUCACUAGAAAUUUGAGCUUGCUAAGCUCUUCCCUGGGCUCAGCUCUUUCCUUUGAUGGUGGAUAGAAUGUUGAGGAGGCCCUGAGCUGGUGCUCCAUCAGUGGAAGAGUGCAACUGACAUCUUUUCAGCUGAGCCUUUUCAGCUUGAGCAGUUUCUGAGUAUUAUUACUCAUGGAGAUGAAACUGACCGAGGUGUUUAAGACUCUGAGAUCUUUAAUUGGACUUUUCCCGCAUUUAGCCUAAAGCAAAAUUCAAGUCAUUCCUACUCUCUCUAGGCUUUUGCUAGAUAGGAGAUACAAGUAAAAUCUUGAAGAAACUCUUUCUACAUUACAGUAAAUAAUUUACAGUAAAUAAAAAUUAUAGUAAUAAUACUAUAUAUAAUAAUUAUAUCACAGUAACUUAUAAUAAUUUAUUAUUAUAGUAAUAAUAAUUAACAAGUAGAUAAGUAGUCUCUGGAUGGUAUAGUUGGAUGUACAAGGGAAAAUCCUUUAAAAAAAGAGUUAGGGAGUGUUGAAGCAAAGGUCAUAGGCCAUCACAUGUCAUGUGGUGCACAGGUCAGGUGACUCCAUCACAGUUUUCUGCCUCUGUCAAAUGAUGGUAAAUCACUCCAAGACCCCAAGGUUGUUACUAGGUUCACCUAUAAUGAGCUAAUAUCAACAUUUUUCAAACAAUUGAAAAAAAGCUUAUUUCUCUUUUUUUAGAUAUUUUGUACAUCAUUUCUCCUUUCAUAAAUACCAUCCCACCAUCCCACACCCCUCUAUUGUUUCUAAUGCCACCACCUCUCUAGGACAGAGAAAUAUGUAGACACCAAAACACAUUAUGGUUGGAAGCAAGUGGAUAAGGUGGUUUCAUAAUACCUGAUGCUAGAAAAAUGGGAAUCAUCUUUGAAGAGUUGAGAUAGGAUGGGUAUAAAAGAAACUGAGUUCCCGAGCCAUUCACAAAGCAGUUCCAGUAUAUUACAGUCUCAGCUCAUAGGUUACUGUCCCCCUGAAGCAUAAGCCCCAUGAAGGAAGGGGGUAUGUUUUUAUCUCUCUAUAUCCCAGUGUUUAGCAUGUAAAAAACAUGAUAGAUAGAUAUAAAGAUACGGCAACACACACACGUAUACAUGUAUACACGUGAACAUAUAUAUUGUGUGAUAAGGAAACCAAACUUUUCAGUAAAAAUAUAUUUGUUGGAGGUUGGGGUCUAAAGAAAUACUCAUGGAAAAAUUUUCAUACAGGUAUGCUCAUUACAUUGUUUGUACUGGCAAAUAAUUGGAUUUAACUCUAAGGUUCAUCGUUAUGUAGUUAAAUAAAUUGUAGAACAUCCAUGAAAUAUAAUACCACUGAGCCAAUGUAAAGAAUAAGGUUGGAAAAAAUACAUAUGUAUAUGUGCACACACACAUAUAUACAUUAUUUGGAAAUAAAUAUGUAUUUAUAAGUGUAGAAAGGUACACUGUAUACACUGAUAAGUGGGAGUUGAAAAAAUAGACAUAGAACACAUUUUACAAUUGUUUACAAAAUUAUCUCUAUGUAAAUGUGAAUAGAAAUAUUGAGGCUUCUACAUUAUUGUUAAUAUUUGAGGGGGCUGGUUUUCUCCUUUACAUUCCAUGUUUCUAUAGUGCUCAAAAUGUUAAUUUUUAAAGCAGACAAUGAGCAAGGUAUAUCUUUAAAAGGAAUACACCUUUUCUUUCAUUCUGGACUGAGAUGGAUAAAGUGAUUUCAUCUAGGCCAUUACUGUCAUCUGGAAGCAGUUUCCCCACCACCACCACCCCAGGGGAACACUAGGCAAUGUCUAGAGGCAUUUUUAGCUGCCACAACCACAGGGAGGGGCCUCUGCUUGUAUCCAGUGGGCAGGAGUCAAGGAUCCUGAUAAGCACUCUCCAGAGGCCAGGCCCCCACAAAAAAAAAAAAAGAAGUAUGAGGCCCAAAGGUCAGUAAGUUGAGGAUCCCUUCCCUCAGCCAUUGGAUCAUGGACAGCUGAUUGAAAUGUGCAGACUGCAAUGAAGUGCUUAUUUGAAGAAACUGCCUUUAAAACUUUCAGGGAGGGUUAUAGUGGAGCCUGAUUGAUGUAUUCAUCAGAAAGCAUGCUCCUCCCCCUCUUUCCCUUUGCUUGAAAUGUCAAAGGACAUUAUAAAAAAACAGGGCACUCAGUUUACCAAAAAGUUUUUUCUCUCAUAUUUUUUUUUUAAACUUUUAUUCUUUAUAUCCUCUCUUGGAAACCACGGCUGCAAUGAAUUACACUUCCAGCCCCACUGGCUUCAUGAGGUCAUCAAAGUGUGAUGUUUUUCCCAUCUCUAGAGUCUGCCCAUUCUCCAAGUUGACUUCAUCCUCAGCCUUGUGGCCAGAUGGCUACUGCAGCUUUAGGUGCUGUUAUUACACACAGAAACAUCUGAAGGGAGACGAGAGAGCACAUCUUUCUGUGGCUUUGUCUUAGGAGCUGCCUAGACUUGCUCUCACAUCUCAAGGACCAGAACUGGGCCAUGUGCCUACCACUGCUUUAAUUACUGGCUAGGAAAGAGGACUAAUUUGGGUCAACCACACCUAACCCUGGAGCUGUGGAGGAGGGACGGCUGAUCAGCUUCCACCUUCCUGACAAGGGGUGGGAAGGAUAAAUACAAGAACAAAAUUGGGGUUCUGUGAAGAAAAAGAGAAGGAACACUGGUUGUUGGGCAGGUAAUUUGCAGUGCCCACAUCACAAGAGUCUUCCUCUCUGCUCAGUGCCCUUCCAUUCAAGGGCAACCCCAUCCUAAUUAACUCCACAAUAAGCUGAGUUAGUUUUGGAUCAUAAACUCCUUGAGAACAGGGAUAGAGGUUUGUUCAUAGAUUUAUUAAUUAAUUUUGCCUUGUCUUCUUUCAAAAAGGACUUGAAAUGACUUACAAUGAACAUGUCUACAAUAAAACUCUUAAAACCAUGGUUACAUGACUAGAAUCAUGUUAUAAAAGGGUAGAAUUAAGAUUCUUUUCUUUACCUUUCAUUCCACCUACCUUAGUGCUUUGCACAUAAAAACAAAAGAAAAACAAAAAAACCUUAAAAAUACAUAAAUAAAUGGCCAUCCCCACCAUUGGCUGGGAGCAUAAAUGUUAUGAAAUACCAAGAGAAUCAUUUCAUAAUUAGCAGCCCGGCCAGUGCUUCCCUGAGGAAAGGCACCAGAGUUGCUUAUCAGGCUAAGGUUGAGCAGAUUUUUCCUGCUAAGAGCAAACAGUACAAAUGAUGAUUGACCUUGCUCUUGGCAGCCACAGAUGGAUGGAUUAUUGUCCUUACACUGAUCUUUUCAGUGAGGCACUUGAGCAGCAAAGAACCAUCUAAAGAGCAUCUGUAAAACUCCAGGAUCAAAAAUAUGUGUGAGUAGAUUAGUGUGCAUAUCAGUUUAUCCCUAUUAUCUGUAUGUCUAAGACUCCCUGGAAAUCCUUCCCAACAGCUAAACUAUAACUUUAGGCACCUAACAUUUCCUUCUGUGUUCUUUACCCCCACCACCUAGGAAAUAAUAAACAUACUUAUUCCCUUGAAAAUGUAAAUGAGUGAAGAGACUUAAUGGGCUCGUCUUUGGCAUUUAGAUUUUAAGCAGAAGCAAAGCCAAAGGUAGCUUUCCAAUGGUUAGCUUCUAGGCCCUGGGAAUGGUGACUAGAUCAUUCAGGCCCACCUUCCCACUGGGAAUAAUGGAAAAGCUGCAUCAAAUAUGAAGAACAUCAGUUCUAAGGCUUAAGAAAGUAGCAAGACAGGAACAAUUUAUGGAUCAAAGAUCUGGGACAAGAAACCUAAAAGAUGAGACUGACCUUUGGGGCUGCUUUCCAUAGCAGUUUCUACUAUUUCUGCAAGAGGAGAUUCAAAGGCUGAGAUGAUUAAGCAGAGCUUUGACAGGCUUACAGGGCUGGGGAGACAAAUACCAGAGUUAAGAUUCACUGAGGAGGAAGCUCUGCCCAACCCUGUAGGUUUUUGUGUUGGGAUCCCAAAAGCACUCCCUAGGAGUGAGAAUAAAUUGGAAAUAGGCUUUAAAUCAUAUCAAGUGAUCUGAAAUUAUUAGUGCCCCUAGUCUAGAUCUCAAAGCAAAUUUAAAACUCCUUAGAAGAAAGGGACCAUUAUUGUAGAGUCUCAAAUUUAUCUACAUUUUUCAUUCGAGGAAGUGCAAAUUUGUCAUCACAAAAGAAAUGAGACAAGGGAACCAGACCCAUAGGGGAUCCUGAUGAUGGAGUUAAUUAGGCCUGACCUUUAAAAUAACUAUGCUUAAUAUUGUCAAGAAAAUAAAAGAUGAGACUGAGAGAGAAUACAACGACACAAAAUUUGAAGAUAUAGUAGUAUGGAAUUUUCCAGAGGAGACAAAAAAAAAAUCUUCAAGCCAGAGGUAUAAGCCAUAAUCAGGGCUAGGACCAAGAAAACAAGAUAAUCGAGGGGAAAAUAGAUUAAAAAUAAUACUUUCAAUAAAUCUGAAUAAAGCCAAGGUAAAGGAAGGAAAGAGAAACACAGAACAGAUGGGACCAAUAGCAAGUUAAUGGUAAUACGGUAGUUCAAACUCAAACACAUGAGUCAUUACAUUUGAAAUAACAACAUGAUAAAAUAUUCCAAUUUAAAGAUAAAAAUUGUCAGACUGAAUUAAAAAAAAAUAAAACCAAAACCCAAAUACAUGCUGCUUAAUAGAAAUACAUCUUAAACACAGGGGUCUAGAAUUUCAGAUACUAGAGAGCUGAGUAGGACAGGGUUUCGAAUAGGACGUGUUCUUCCAUGUGCCUGAAGUAACUGCAGUGCAGAGCUGCCUUGUUGGGUGGGGUCUGCAGCUAGAAGGUGAUUUGUUAGGACACUGAGUAACUGCUGACUUACCUAUUGGGCGUUUUUACCCACAACUAUUUUAUGAGGUUUUAGCAGAGAGUAUAGAUAAAGGAUUCCUAAUCUUUUCACAAUGAGAUACAAUUUUUUGCUUUCUCUGAGGUCUGAUAUCAUUGGAUGAUGUAGAAAAAUGGAAAUGGUAGAGGGAAGGUAGCAGGGUGGAUUUUACUCUUCCCUUCUUGAGAUCUCUUAGAGCAGUGGGAUAAGCCUUGAGCUGUUGGGCAGACAUGGAAUUAGCCAAGGGAGUUGGCUAUGUUUUUUUUUAGGUUGCAAGAAACAGUGACAUGCUUGGGCAUCUUUUGGCAAUCAGUAUUUAUUGGAAGGGUAGAAGAGGUGUGAGAAUGCAAAAGGAAUCACCUCAAUAGCCAGGUAGCAGGGAGAAAUUGACUGAUAAUCAGCACUGCUUGGGGUACAAAAGGAGUCACCUCAUCUUCUUGGAAGUUUUUCAUGUCUUGUUCAUCCCUGCCAUUGAGAGAAAUGCCUAGUUAUCUAAGGAUCGGGGAAGCAAUUUCAACUGUAUAAUGAAUCAUAAUUAAAACUACUCUCUAAGAUUUAGUUCAGUACUCAUUACUGUGAUAGCAUCAGCAAGGUAGUUUGAUAUAAUGAAUGCUUUCCAAUCAUUAUAAUAAUGAUUCAGGGUAUUAGUAUUAGCAUGGCUAUUUUCAUCCAAAUAGGGCACUGACAUCCCCGCUGUACUCUACAACUCGUCCUGUGUGCUCGGGGGUAGAGGGCAAGAAAGGAAAGACA